CGCUGGCGGCGUGCCUCAGACAUGCAAGUCGAACGAUUAAAGCUCUCUUCGGAGAGUGCAUAGAGUGGCGCACGGGUGAGUAACACGUAAGUAAUCUACCUUCGAGUGGGGAAUAACAGUCGGAAACGGCUGCUAAUACCGCAUAAUGCAGCGGCAUCGCAAGAUGACAGUUGUUAAAGAUUUAUCGCUUGAAGAGGAGCUUGCGGCAGAUUAGCUAGUUGGUAAGGUAAUGGCUUACCAAGGCUACGAUCUGUAACCGGUCUAAGAGGACGGUCGGUCACACUGACACUGAAUAACGGGUCAGACUCCUACGGGAGGCAGCAGUCGGGAAUUUUGGGCAAUGGGCGAAAGCCUGACCCAGCAACGCCGCGUGAAGGAUGAAGUAUUUCGGUAUGUAAACUUCGAAAGAAUAGGAAGAAUUAAUGACGGUACUAUUUAUAAGGUCCGGCUAACUACGUGCCAGCAGCCGCGGUAAUACGUAGGGACCAAGCGUUGUUCGGAUUUACUGGGCGUAAAGGGCGCGUAGGCGGCAUGACAAGUCACUUGUGAAAUCUCCGGGCUUAACUCGGAACGGCCAAGUGAUACUGUCACGCUAGAGUGCGGAAGGGGCAAUCAGAAUUCUUGGUGUAGCGGUGAAAUGCGUAGAUAUC
rnacentral:rRNA from 1 species